CAGUAGCCGCGGUAAUACAGAGGGUGCAAGCGUUAAUCGGAAUUACUGGGCGUAAAGCGCGCGUAGGUGGUUCGCCAAGUUGGAUGUGAAAUCCCCGGGCUCAACCUGGGAGCUGCAUCCAAAACUGGCGAGCUAGAGUGUGUCAGAGGAUGGUGGAAUUCCCGGUGUAGCGGUGAAAUGCGUAGAGAUCGGGAGGAACAUCAGUGGCGAAGGCGGCCAUCUGGGACAACACUGACGCUGAGGCACGAAAGCGUGGGGAGCAAACAGGAUUAGAGACCCCCGUAGUCCCUGUCUCUUAUAC
rnacentral:rRNA from 1 species